rnacentral:lncRNA from 1 species
CGGCAGUUACGGAAAGUCUUUUAACAGUUUGAGCAGCAGGUAUGUUCUGUUGUGCUGCUGCCUGCCUCAGAGUUAGUCUGUAUUUAUCUUGGAUGCACAUCUAUGUAAGAUGUCUUGGCAACAUAAGCAACGCCUAUCUGCGUUGUAUAUUUUACUCUGCAAGUGCAAGUAUGCUAAGUAAAAUGUAUUUGUUCUUUAAACUUUAAAAGAGAGCGCCUUGCAUAGUUUUUGUACGAGGAAAAAGGAACUAAUUAAAGGGUCAAAAGACCCGGGGAACUAGAGUUUAAAUGGGAACUAGAGUGUAAUUCCCACAGGUGUGCUAUACACAGGCCCAAGCAUACGUAGACUUGAAUGGCACGAUUUCCUCCCACCCUUAGGGAGCAGGAAGAACCAUAUGCAUUGGACCUCCAUACGUACAAGACAAUGGCUGGAGUGCCCGGUUUAUGUAAUGUCUUAUAUGCACCAUGGGGAGAAGUGACUGUACCUGCUCCUUCCACUGCAGAAUGCCAGUCCCUAGUUAUGUCAGUGUGUAAGCUGAGCUUUUGCACCCACCAUGCAACACAUUUCUGUUAUGUUUUUUGGGGAUUCUCCAAAUCUUAGCUGGCCUUGGUAGCUAGCCAUUAUUUGCGGUUCUCUCAACCCUACCCUACCUGAGUCCUCUUGCGUACUGAGAGUAUUCAAGGGAAUGGAAGGGCCAGCUAUUAAUUUUGUAGUGAUAUUUGCAAGUGUUCGGAAGUAGCAAAAAACCCCACAUCUUGUUGCUUUGAAUCACCUUAAAAGGAUGACAUAUAGUAGGGUGUUUGUUUGCUUUUUGUUUUUUAAAAAUGUUUUUUUUUAAAUUGCCCCUUUUUCCAAGUUCCAGAGGAAGGGCCUACGGAAUAACCUCUCACCUCAUGCCUGGAUUUGGAGGUGCUCAACAAAAGCAAUAAUCCCUAGUUCUGCAAAUCCUGGAGCCAUGUGUGGGACUGCAUUCCUACCAAUCCCAAAGUCUGCUGCAUAUGCCGGGCAUCUCAAGAGGAGGAUCUGUCUCUUCCACACAUCACAAAAAAGAGAUCCCCCCCCCAACCUCCAAAUCUGUUUCAAGCGGUAGUCAGCAUGCUGUCUCUAGCACAGUGGUUCUCAAGGGGUGUGGUGCGCCACACUGGUGUGGCAGGAGAGGGUGGCAAGUGUGGCAGGAAGAUUUGAGGACAAUCAACAUUAUAUUUGAGGAAUGAUUCGUGUUCUUAUGUAGCUGCAUUGUUUUAUAGUUUCUGCAUGUCCCAUGAUCAUAUUAUAAAGUAGUUGUGUUCUAUGUUACAGUGGUGCCUCGCAAGACGAAAUUAAUCCGUUCCGCGAGUCUCUUCGUCUAGCGGUUUUUUCGUCUUGCGAAGCAACCCUAUUAGCGGCUUAGCGGAUUAGCGCUAUUAGCGGUUUAGCAGCUAUUAAAGGCUUAGCGGCUUAGCAGCUAAAAGGCUAUUAGCGGCUUAGCGGCUUAGAAAAAGGGGGGGAGCGAAAAAAAUCUCAAGACUCGCAAGACAUUUUCGUCUUGCGAAGCAAGCCCAUAGGGAAAUUCGUCCUGCGAAGCGCAUCGAAAAACGGAAAACCCUUUCGUCUAGCGGGUUUUUCGUCUUGCGAGGCAUUCGUCUUGCGGGGCACCACUGUAUAUAAAUUAGGCACUGCUAGGAAUUCUUUCUUCUUGUUUUGCAAUGUAUUUCUCAUCAAUAAGAAAUCCGGAGGGGCGCGAGCAAAUUUUUAUUCUGAAAGGGUGACCCAGAGGAAAAACAUUUGAGAACUACUGCUCUAGGAAGAACAGAAUCAGGACAUGAAGGCCCUCCAUUAAUUUGUGACCCCGUAACUGACACAGCAAAUGCAACCUUGUCCCAUUGUCUCCAAACAGGUGAAGAAGAGUUUGGAUUUGAUAUCCCGCUUUAUCACUAACCGAAGGAGUCUCAAAGCGGCUAACAUUCUCCUUUCCCUUUCUCCCCCACAACAAACACUCUGUGAGGUGAGUGGGGGUGAGAGACUUCAAAGAAGUGUGACUAGCCCAAGGUCACCCAGCAGCUGCAUGUGGAGGAGCGUGGACGCGAACCCGGUUCACCAGAUUACAAGUCUACCGCUCUUAACCACUACACCACAGUGACUCUCCGUCAAAGUUUUGUGCUCGUUUUGUGCCACUUUGUGCUUCAAAGCCACAUUUUGUGCCACCCCCCCCCCCACCAAACUGAAUAAUCAAACAUUCAGACCGGGGUCACAAGUAAAUGGCCCCAAACCCAGCCUUGUCUGAUUGACUCCAAACCAGUCCCAAGUUGUGUGCUGGUACAUGAAGGCAACAGCCCUUCAUGGUUACUUACCAGCAUAUAGUACCCAGAGGGCCCCUCCAUUUGGUUAUAAUGGUUAAAGCCUUUGAUAGACCUAUUUGUGUAAAUUUGUGACAUCCUUUUUAAAAGAGCCAACGGUGCUAGUGACAUUCACUAUAUCUUAUGACGGUGAGUUCCAUAUAGUCAGGGAUGGGGAAUUUAUGGCGCUCUGGGGGUUGUUAGACUCCAACUUCCAUCAGUCCCAGCCAGCAUGACCAAUAGUCAGCAAUGAUGGGAACUGUUCUCCAACAUCUGGAGGGCCAGAGCUUUCUCAUCUCUGUGAACAUAUUGUGUGAACAAGAUUUUUCCUAUUUGCACUUACAAGAAGCCCCCAAAUAUAAAGGAAAUGCCUAGUGGGUGGAUUUCAUGCAGGGUAGAGUUCAUUAGAAGCAUAUCUGAAGAUACCCAGAAAGAAGAUGGAAUAGUUCUCAUUUUUUAAAUGUCUGAAAAACAACCAUUUAUUUUAAAAAACAAACAACCAAAAAAAACCUUUCUUACAUAAAUUGUGCCUGGCUCAAUUUAUAAACUCACUCUGGAAGUUAAUUCAAGUUAAUAUAAUGAAAUAUCUCAUGUUGUCUCAGCGAAAUGGCUCCUUUCCAAAGUUCCAACAUAGCAAAAGGAGAUUAUUUAGGAUAAAUUGCUUUAAAUAACAUUUGGAGUUGUGUAAGAAUUCAGGAGCCUAUGUCUCAAUUCAAAACAGUUUUUGGCACACUUAUAGAAGAGUAAGUUCGUAUAACAUUCUGACAUCUGGCACUCAGUAGCUGUUAUACAGAAGUUCAUUUUUGAAAGUUGCUGGUAUAAUUCAGAACUGUAGUGGAACACAUACAUUUAACAGAAAAUUUCUAUUAAUUCAAUAUUAAUAUGUGGUGCAAACAUGAUAAAAAGACAGAGGCCACAAUCCAUUGACAUCAAUUAAAAAUGAGUCAUGGCUAGCUUACUUAUUGAGCAAAAGAAACUUUCUUUAAAAAGAAACAGAGAAUUGUAAAGUUAGAAGGUAUCCCGAGGGUCAUCUAGUCCAACCCCCUGCAAUGCAGGAAUCUUUUGCCCAAAAGAUCUCACCUGAGACUCCAGGGGCCACUACCAGCCAGAAUAGACAAUAUUGUGCUAGUUGGACAAACAAUCUGACCUGAUAUAAGGCACCUUCCCGUGUUUCUGCAUUUGUGGUCUGGUGACCAUGAGACUGUGGCUCAGAAAAUGUAAUACAUCAACACAGUCUAAAAAUACACUAGUUAAAAGCAGUUAAUAAAUGGUACAAAAUACCAGUUCGUUGAAUGCACACAUUGGUAUAUCAUAUGAUUUUUCAGUGGUCACAUUACUAUGAGUACAGCAAAAGAAACACCACACUUCCUCAUGAAACAACCAAGUGCAACAUAAUGAUGACAAUUACUCGGGUCAUGUGAUCAUGUAUCACUCAUAUCAUUCUUCAAAUCAUGCAGCAUUACUUCCUAUUAGUUUUCCAUUUCUUCAGAUUAGUACUUGCAAAUGAAAAUAAUGAAAUGCAGGAGGACUUUGCACCAUUUCCAGAGUUAAGAAUGGGACUAUUGCUUUCAACUCAGGGCUACCGUCCCCGUCAUCUAAAAAAGGAAUUGGACUCUGGGUCACAGUUCCUUUCCAUUCACAAAAGGGCAACUCAAGAUUGAAGCUCAGCGUGUCAUAAUGACCACCUUAUAGAUAUUCCCACUAUUUGAAGGAUGGCUGGAUCUCUCUCUCUCUCUCACUGUAUGGAACUUCGAAUGAGAAACAUGAUAUCUUGCAAGGAUAGAAAUUGCUUCAGUUUCUCCCAGCAAUACAGUGGUACCUCUGGUUACAUACUUAAUUCCUUCUGGAGGUCCAUUCUUAACCUGAAACUGUUCUUAACCUGAAGCACCACUUUAGCUAAUGGGGCCUCCUGCUGCCGCUGCUGCACAAUUUCUGUUCUCAUCCUGAAGCAAAAUUCUUAACCUGAGGUAAUAUUUCUGGGUUAACAGAGUCUGUAACCUGAAGCGUUUGUAACUUGAAGCGUAUGUAACCCGAGGUACCACUGUAAUACAAAAUGAGCAAUAGCUUAUCUUUGUGUGUGAAGAUGUCAGUGAUAUUUUUGACUCAGUUUGUGAUGUCCACAAAGAUGUGGCUCAGUAGGGUUCUAAACAGAAAAAAAUAAGGAUACAGCUGGAAUCUUCAAAGGAUAGGAUAGUAGAGUCAUUUGUCUCCCCACCCCACCCCAAAUAGAACUUCCUUAACGACAUACAAAAGCCAGAUCUGUUUGUUUACAUAUUUGGCAACUUAGGUCUACGCAUUCAGCUCUUCUAAAAAAAAGGUAACAAGAUGGUCUAGAAGUCUCCAGUUCUGAUAGCUGUGAAGGGUGACUUCAGAAGACCACACAGGUACUGAUAGAAUAUUUGGAUGAAUAAUAAUAUGGAAGAGUUUGAAGUGGAAUGUUCUGUUGGCUGGCAAAGCUACUAGAGGGCUUGGCUCCAGUCUGCAAUCUGCAAAUCAAAGCCAAUCAAACACACACUUGCUGUGAUAGUGAGGAUUUUAAACAUUAUCAGAAGAACAGACGGUGAUCACUACUUUGCUAUGAAUGUUUACUUGAUUGUUUUUGAAAUGCUACAAUUGUAGCAGCAUGUUGCUGUUGCUCUUGGAUUUGUUUCAAAUGAAUCAGCAUAGCUACCUGAAAUUUAUUGAGAGAUUUUACAUUUCAGUUCGGUACGGAUUUGCUGAAAUAACUGGGUUCAGAAACAGUAUGCUUUUUUAAAAAUCUAUUCAUUUUAUCCUGCAGUGUUGGGAAAACUUUACGUAGAAAAAAAUUAAAUAAAUAUAUUUUGCAAACAGAAGGAUAAAAAGCAACAAUAAUUUGAUGCUCAAGUGUAGUUCAAGUGCUAAAAGCAAGCAUUCCCAGAGUAACUGAUCAUGCACUCUUGCUCCUAGACACAGCACUUUAUCCAAAGCAGACACAAAACAAAAACUCUUCACAAUGGGCUGGAGACCAGAUAACAGCUUCUCAUCCCCACUAUGAAAACAAUAGCCUGUAGUCACAGUUAACUGACACAACAGAUCUAUUUAAAAGCAAGAUUCCCAGGCCCUUUGAAUAGGAUGAACCUAUUCUUUCACCAGCAAUGCUGUGAAACAAGGCAAAGAUGUAGUUCAGGAUCUUAGUUCUACAACUUGUAGUUCAGUUUGUGUCUAAAAAACAGGAGCAGAAAUUGUUCCUGCCAUUGAUUCUACUGCUUUUCAUCAAGGUGGAAACCCUUCCAGCUUCUGAGUUCCCUCAGUCAACACUAGGCACUCUCAUUUGCACAUGCGACAUAAGAUGUGCAAUUAAGGAAACUCCCACAUAUUUAUCAACAAACAAGGGACUCAGCAUGCACAGCAACGACAUAAUAUCCUAUUCUCUAGCUGUGAUCAAGAGAUGAGGAGUAGGAUGUGGAAUUGUGAACUCCCCAGCCCCUCCUUUUUCACACACAUAUUUCUCACCAUAUUCUUGAGUGCCUUGCCCAAAAGUGAGAUGUUUGAUGCUGCUGGAUGAACAUUAUAAAGGGCAGGAAGAUCUUUUUCCAUACUGGUUUUACCACCACUUCCUUCAAUACUGUUGGAACGAUGGCCUUUGCUCCCCAACCGAAUCAGCCUACCCAGCGCUGGCUUCCUUAAUCAACCAGGAAGGGCAAGGAUUGAGCAUGCCAAGUGAUGAAGCGCCCAACUUCAAUAAUUCCGUCUACAUCCACAGGCUAUGCAAACCAAGAAGUAUCCAUAGAAACAGGAGAAGCAGCUGCAUCUGGUGCUGCCCUCAAUUUGGAGUCAAGGCAGACAUGUCUAUCAGAGAUGUUGACUACAAAGUGCUUGGCAAAUAGGGCACACCAGGUAACCAUCACGUCUCAGGAGCCACUUGGAACAAUUCUGCCAGACAACUCUGUACGGACAAAAUGGUGCCAGAAAACCAAGAUUUAUUUUCCACCAUCGCUGCCAUGAGAUGAGCUCUGAAAUGAGCUUUAGCCCAACUUCAGUCAAAUUCAUCAUGCAUUUUCCUUUGCUGGAAGGGAAAAGUUUCAUUGCUCAGAAAACUAGGGAGCCACACGGGCUCACCAAACAGAGAGAUCACUCUGGAGUGAACAUAGCAACUGCUCAUGUAGUUUCCCCAUUCCAGAUGUUAUCAAGUGCUUUGAUAGGACUGCCAGCAUUACAUUGCCCCAGAGCCAGCAGGACUUAAUCUGGACUGGAUCUAUUUUUCUCUAGGGCAGACUGUUCUAAUAAGCCCUCCACUCAGUAAGCCUAAAACCUGCCAGGCAGAGCUCUAUCCAUGCCAAGGGAACCAUGUCAAACUUCUCCACCCAUGAUCACCACCCUGUUCAGAAUAUAACACCAAAUCAAGUGUAUGACCAGCCAAAUGAAAGAGGCCGGAUAUCAAUCGAGACAGAUAUUGUUGUCAUGGAGACCAUGAAAUCCUGAUCUGCAACAGACGAGAGGGCCUCAGCAAGGAUGCUUGAAUUUGCCAUUCCCAUUCUGGUCCUGCAGAGAAGCCCACUUGGCACCCACUGACAUGUUGUUGGGAAAAUGAUGAUGAUGAUGAUAAUUGAUUUAUAUGCCCAUCUGACUGGGUUGCCUCAGCCACUCUGGGCAGCUCCCAACAAAAAAUAGUAAAAACACAAUACCACACACUAAAAACUCCUCUAAACAGGGGUGCCUUCAGGUUGAACAGGGCUGUCUUCAGGUGUCUUUUAAAAAAUCACAUGGCUGUUUAUCUGUUUGACAUCAGCUAAAGUGCCUUCCACAGGGUGGGCAUGACUACUGAAAAGGCCCUCUGCCUGGUUCCCUGUAACCUCACUUCUCGCAAUGAGGAAACCACCAGAAGGCACUCAGAGUUGGAUCUCAGUGUCCGGGCUGGAUGAUGGGGGUGGAGACGCUCCUUCAGGUAUACAAGGCCGAAGCUGAUUGGAAGGAGGUAGAGCUCUCAGAUGUCUAACCCCCUUAUCCUGUAACAAGCCAACAUAAUUCACACUGCCACACUUCCUGCAACUGCCCACAAUCCGAAUGGUGCCAUCUAGGCCACACACACUGCCAACCCUCACCACUCGAUCAAAGCAAAGUUUUAGUAAGACUAAAAUAUAAGGCAAAUUGCUUCUGAAGAAGAGUUUCAAAAGCAGCAUGGCAGCACAUUACUGAAAGCUGGAAGGGGGAUUAAAAAAUUCACCAGGGAGGCCCAUUCUCUCUCUCUCUCUCUCUCUCUCACACACACACACACACACACACACAUAUAUAUGCAAAGUUUUCAAGAAAAAAAUUAAUAUGAAACCACAGAUCGAUGGAAAAAGAAUUUGAUGGAUAAAUAGUGCCUACAAAGCACACACUAUCCCUUUUGAUAAUGGCUUUAAUUGCAGAGAGGCAUUCAUUUUCUCAUAUUUCUCUUAUCGCCCAGGACUCCUCUGUGAUUAUGUGUUUUGUUUUUUAAAAGUUCUCCUCUGCAUUCCUGAGGAAAGCUCUUGAGUUUGUUGAUCCUAAGCUGGCACUGAAUCUGCAGAGGAUGUCAACAUUCACAUUUGUUCAGGACAGUUCUUGCAUGAUAAGUCUCUUUUCUGUGCUUUCCUCUGCUCAGCUUCAAUCGCCCCUUUCAGUAAAAUAGAGGCAGGGACGAAGUAAUGCAAAAAGAAGGCUGAUUUGCUGGUAGGGACUGUUAAUCCACAGUUUGCACAAUCAAAAUGCUAUUAGGAGAUGAAUUUGCUGUGUCUUUCAGAAUCACAAUCAUCUUUCCAACAGGAUGCAAAAUAAAGUGUGUAACUUGUAUAUGAAACCUAUGCAUCAGAAUGUUCAUGUGCAUUACAAAUGCCUCUCUUCCCCACUAUCAGCUGUCAGACACUUACUUUAAAAGCACAAGAGAGGAUUAAAGUGAUUUAAUCCUAACUGUUUACCUUAAGAACAUAAGAGCAUUGUUCUGUGCUUUAAACUCCCAAUGAUCAACUGAUCAUUGGCGCUUCAGAAGGCAGGUGUGCAGCACUUCUGAAAUGCUCCCUGAUGGGCUGAUCAUUGGAAUUUCAGACUGUGGACUAAGUAAACUACAAGCAAUAAAGAUAAACAAUUGUACCGUUAAUAUACCAUAAAAUGACUGGAUUAUCUGAGAAACUGGAUUUACCCUUGCGGAAUCUAUCCUGGUUCUUCUUCAGGGAAGGUUACAACAUUAAAACACAUCUCUGAAGGUGAAAUAAAUUUUAAAAAUGUCCAGUAGCACCUUAGAGACCAACUAAGUUUGUUUGGGAUAUAAGCUUUCGUGUGCAUGCACACUUCUUCAGAUACUUAGUCGGUCUCUAAGGUGCUACUGGACAAUUUUUUAAUUUCACCUGCGUCAGACCAACACGACUACCUACCUGAACCUCUGAAGGUGAACGAACUACCAAGAAGGCCCCAAUCUGCCAAUCUUAAUUUUCCAGAGUGUCUGUAAGGAAGGAGAUGAUCUUUCAGACAUUUGGGGCCUGAGUCAUUUAGUGUUCAAAUGUGAGUACCUUGAACUGACCACGGAAAUGAAUUGGCAGCCAGUAACGAAAUGUUCGUUUUAAAUUCACCAAUAAGACUGACAAAUUAAUUUUAGAUAGAACCUACUUCUUACCAUCUUUUAUUUCUGUUUCCUUAAGGAGCAAGAUGUUAGAAAGGAUUUGAUCCUCAGCUCCCAUUUUCUUCAGUUCAGCUUUUGUCAGGUGGAGCAAAUCCUGGAACCAGCCCAACAAAAAAGAAGAUGGAUGAGAAAAUAUUGACUUUGUUCAUUUUUUAAGAAAUAAUAUUCUUUUAAAAAAAUGAUCCAACAUUUUAUGACCAUAAAUUAAAAGCAUCCAGAACAUAAUCCCAGAACAUAACAAACACUGCUCAUUUUUCCAUAGUUACUGCUAAGAAUUAACACCUAACAAAUGAAUGUAUUGCCAAAAUACAAUGUUAUCAAAAGGUUGUUUUUCAAUAGCUAAUUCUUGUUACUUAUUUGUACCACCCUCCUAACCAUUUGAAAUCACUGUGAGAAACUCUUUUAGUUCAUUAUCACUUUUCACUUUUCUCUCUCGCUCUGUGCCUUGUCUCUGAGGAUCAUUAAAAGACACAUUCUUUGGAAUUUACUUUGAGGAAGGAGUUCUUAACAUCCAGGUCUAUUGGGGAGAAUUUUUGUUUGUUUGUUUACAAGAACUGGCAUCUAAGCUGUAGGGCCAUAAAACACAGACCACACCAUUUAAUUACUGUCAGUGUAUGGCAAAGAACCACCUGCAAGCAGUUUCUAUUUUAAAUUGUGCCAUGAUCUGAAAAACCUAAUUGUUCCCACCCAGCCACCCAGAAGUUGGUGGACUGGACAAAGGAGCUGCCAAUUCAUUUAGGAAACAUCCUCCACUUAAUUUUCUUAACCUCCAUGACCUGUAAAAAGCUGGAACAUAAUGGUAGACUUGCACAUUUGAAAAUGUCUAAUCAUUUAGUAUUAUAUUUUACUAUAAAACCUUCGUGUGGCACAGGGUUGGGAGCAAUCGCAGUAAGGAAACAGCUUCUAAAACUGUAAGAUAGUUCAUAGAUAGAAGAAUGACCUCAAGCACUGAACAAAUCCAUUGUAUCCAGGAUGCCACACUAGUCAACCAAGGAGGAACAGUUAAUUCCUACCUUCCUACCCCCUCAGGCAAAGGUUCUGGUCUAUUUAACUAUGAAAGCACUUCUGUUGUGCAUACUGUAUUAUCUUCCAGUUUGCUGUCUGUGUGAACUCAAUCUUUCUCUUCUUCAGUUGUAUAGUGCAGCCUUUUGUGUGCAUCUCAAAGAAAGAAACAUUCUCCAGUCCAAUGCUGCACAAUGUUGACUGCCUACCUAUUGAAGAAUGGAACUCUCUGGUGUGGAGGGAUCACUUGGGAAGACAGGCGAACUAAUACCAGUGUACUGGAAGAAGCAAAGAUCACCAGUGUUAAAGCAAUGACUCUUCAACAUCAACUUCGUUGGACUGGUCAUGUUGUGCGGAUGCCUGAUUACCGUCUUCCAAAGCAACUACUCUAUUCCGAACUUAAAAAUGGAAAGCGUAAUGCUGGUGGUCAACAAAAGAGGUUUAAAGACUGUCUCAAGGCUAAUCUUUAAAAAUGUAGUAUAAACACCAACAACUGAGAAACACUGGCCUGCGAGUGCUCCAGUUGGAGAACAGCCUUUACCAAAGGUGUCAUGGGCUUUGAAGACACUCGAACCCAGGACGCAAGGGAGAAAUGUGCUAAGAGGAAGGCACACGGAAGGACACGUGGUUCCAGAAUUGGCCUCCACAGUCACUUAUGGACUCAUUGUUAAAACCAUGUUUAUGGAAGACAAUCUUACUCGCCUAUGAGUAAUCGCAGAAGAAGAAGAAGAAGAAGAAGAAGAAGAAGAAGAAGAAGAAGAAGUGUGUGUGUCCCACCCUUCAGAAGCUAGUACUGACUCAAGGCUAUCUCUGAAAUCAUUUUGUCUUUAAUCAUCAGUCUAGAUUAUCAGCCUACAUUUCCCCAAGAAGUCGUUGGCAAUCUGAACAGAGACACAAGGGAAGCAGCAGUCAGAAGGGAAUGGAAGUAGGUGU